AUGGUUCAGGGAGUUAUUAUGCACAGAUUAGGAAGCACAAUUCUUCUUCUUCUGGUAAUACUAUGUGUGGUGUUGCUGUUAGAAGGGGCAGCAGCUUGUUCAGGCGGGCGAUGCGAGCUCGGCGACCGAUGUUCGUCAGAAGGAGACUGCGGGUCUGAACUCUACUGCUACAACUGCUGGAUCGAGUUCGCCGGCAAAAGGUGCGUCCGGACGACGGUCGCCGACCCGUUCAAGAUAGCUGACACAUCGUUGCCGUUCAACAAGUACGCGUUCCUGACGACGCACAACUCGUUCUCGAUCCGCGGCGAGCCGUUCCACACCGGAGUGCCACGGAUCACGCUCUACAACCAGGACGAUUCCGUCACCGAUCAACUGAAUAACGGAGUCCGGGCGCUGAUGCUGGACGUGUACGACUUCCGCGACGACAUUUGGCUUUGCCACUCAAAGGGAGGGAAGUGCUUCGACUUCACGGCGUUCGAGCCGGCCAUCGGCACCAUGAUGGAGGUCGAGGCGUUCCUGUCGGCGAACCCGUCGGAGAUCGUGACGCUGAUCCUGGAGGACUACGUCAGCUCUGACCACGGCCUGUCCAAGCUGUUCCACAGCGCGGGCCUGACCAAGUACUGGUUCCCGGUGUCGAGCAUGCCGCGGGACGGCGGGGACUGGCCUCGCGUCCGUGACAUGAUCAGGCGCAACCACCGCCUCCUCGUCUUCACCUCCGACGAGUCGAAGGAGCGGGCCGAGGGGAUCGCCUACCAGUGGAACUUCAUGGUCGAAAACCAGUACGGCGAUGGCGGGAUGAGCUCUCGCGCGUGCCGCCGCCGCGCCGAGUCCCUGGCCCUCGACAGCCGGACGAGGUUGCUGAUCCUGGUGAACUACUUCCACACGGUGCCGCUCCGGGUGACGGCGUGCGUGGAGCACUCGCUGGGGCUCGCGGACGUGCUCCGGGCGUGCCACGCCGCCGCCGGCGACCGCUGGGCCAACUUCCUGGCCGUCGAUUACUACAAGAGAAGCGACGGCGGCGGCGUGUUCGAGGCCACGGACAUGCUCAACGGGAUGCUCAUCUGCGGCCGCGACGACGUGCGUGCGUGCGCGAAACGAACUCUCAAGGACGUGCUGUAUGGCCUGCUCGGCAAGGCUGGGCUGAUGCCGGGUCACGGUGGGACGAGGAGGACAUGA
rnacentral:rRNA from 1 species